AAGUCGUAACAAGGUUCCCGUAGGUGAACCUGCGGAAGGAUCAUUACAGAGAGGGGGUGUUUCGCCCCCGGGGGCUCCGGCCCCCACCUCUAUACCCGUGCUCACGUACCGUUUUCCUGUUGCCUUGGCGGGCCUUGGGCCCACCGCCCACGCCGGCUCCCCCGCUGGCCCGUGCCCGCCAAUCGCCCCCCUCAAAUCGUUGGAUCGGUGAUGUCUGAGCGUAUAUAUACCAAUAAUCAAAACUUUCAACAACGGAUCUCUUGGUUCUGGCAUCGAUGAAGAACGCAGCGAAAUGCGAUAAGUAAUGUGAAUUGCAGAAUUCCGUGAAUCAUUGAAUCUUUGAACGCACAUUGCGCGCCCCGGUAUUCCGGGGGGCAUGCCUGUUCGAGCGUCAUUGCACCCCCCAAGCGUAGCUUGGUCCUAGGGCCUCGCCUCCCAGGCGUCCCCGAAAAGCAUGGGCGGUCCAGGGGCGACUUCAAGCGCAGUAGAUUACCUCCCGCUUCGAAGCCGGCCCUGUGGCCUCCAGACAGGCCCCGUAUGUCUCAAUGAUUGACCUCGGAUCAGGUAGGGAUACCCGCUGAACUUAAGCAUAUCAAUAAGCGGAGGAAAAGAAACCAACAGGGAUUGCCUCAGUAACGGCGAGUGAAGCGGCAAGAGCUCAAAUUUGAAAUCUGGCCCGUUCCGGGUCCGAGUUGUAAUUUGUAGAAGAUGUUUCGGGCGACGUGCCGGUCUAAGUCCCUUGGAACAGGGCGUCAUGGAGGGUGAGAGUCCCGUGUGUGACCGGCGUCCGAGUCCAUGUGAAACUCCUUCGACGAGUCGAGUUGUUUGGGAAUGCAGCUCAAAAUGGGUGGUAUAUUUCAUCUAAAGCUAAAUACCGGCCAGAGACCGAUAGCGCACAAGUAGAGUGAUCGAAAGAUGAAAAGCACUUUGGAAAGAGAGUUAAACAGUACGUGAAAUUGUUGAAAGGGAAGCGCUUGCGACCAGACCUGCCCGCGGACGAUCCCCGGGGGUUCUCCCCCGCCCACUCGUCCGUGACCAGGCCAGCAUCGGUUUCGGUGGCCGGAUAAAGACCGUGGGAAUGUAGCUCCCCCCGGGGAGUGUUAUAGCCCAUGCGUGCAAUACGGCCCACCGGGACCGAGGACCGCGCUUCGGCUA
rnacentral:rRNA from 1 species